AAUGCGUAGAUAUCUGGGAGAACGCCAACGCCGAAGGCAGCUUGCUGGCUCGUUCCAGACGCUGAGGCACGAAAGCUAGGGGAGCGAACAGGAUUAGAUACCCUGGUAGUCCCUAGCUGUAACGGAUGGGCACUAGGUAUCGGGACCUCUGAUGGUUUUGGUACCGCAGCUAACGCGUUAAGUGCCCCGCCUGGGGAGUAUGGUCGCAAGGCUAAAACUCAAAGGAAUUGACGGGGGCUCACACAAGCGGUGGAGCAUGUUGUUUAAUUCGAAGCAACGCGAAGAACCUUACCUGGGCUUGACAUGCUGGAAGUAGAACCCUGAAAGGGGAACCACCGGUACCCAAUCCGGAACCAGCACAGGUGCUGCAUGGCUGUCGUCAGCUCGUGUCGUGAGACGUUGGGUUAAGUCCCGUAACGAGCGAAACCCUUGUCGCCUGUUGCUACCGGGUCAUGCCGGGCACUCUGGCGAGACUGCCGCUCUCAAACCGGAGGAAGGCGGGGACGACGUCAAGUCAUCAUGGUCCUUACGUCCAGGGCUACAAACGUGCUACAAUGGCAGGUACAGAGAGAAGCAAGACCGCGAGGUGGAGCAAAUCUUCAAAGCCUGCCCCAGUUCAGAUUGGAGGCUGCAAUUCGCCUCCAUGAAGGUGGAUCGCUAGAAUCGCGGAUCCCCAUGCCGCGGGAAUGGUUCCGAGCUGUACACACCGCCCGUCAAGCCACCCAAGCUG
rnacentral:rRNA from 1 species